rnacentral:rRNA from 1 species
ACCCGCUGAACUUAAGCAUAUCAAUAAGCGGAGGAAAAGAAAAUAACAAUGAUUCCCCUAGUAACGGCGAGUGAAGAGGGAAGUAGCCCAAGCUGAAAAGCUGGCGGGUUAAAAGCCUGUCCGCAUUGUAGCCUAAGGAUAUAGUCGUUCUAUCUUGUCGGCCCAGGUAUAAAUCCUUUGGAAUAAGGUUUGUCAUAGAGGGUGAGAACCCCGUCUUUGACCUGGUUGCUGGCUUGGUAGUGGCUGUCAUCCGCGAGUCGGGUUGUUUGGGAAUGCAGCCCUAACGGGAGGUAAGUUCCUCCUAAGGCUAAAUAUUGGGGAGAAAUCGAUAGCAAACAAGUACCGUGAGGGAAAGGUGAAAAGAACUUUGAAAAGAGAGUUAAAUAGUACGUGAAAUUGUUGAAAGGGAAACGAUUGACAUACAGCCAUGCGGGCAGGAAAUCAGCCGUGCAAUUGCGCACGGUGCACUUUUCUGUCCGCAGGUCAGCAGCAGUUUUGGCUGUUGGAAACGGGCAAGGGAAAGGUGGCUCACUUGUGAGUGUUAUAGUCCUUUGCUUCUACAACGGCCGGGACUGAGGAACGCUGCCCGCCCCUCUUCGGAGGAGGAUGGUGUAGUGUGUUCGGCUGUUCUUCGGACGGUUGGGGCUACAAAGGCUUGUACUUUGUACUCUACGGCUGGAGGCACCCGGGCGCACUCGUCCAACGGGCAAAGGUUGCUGGCAUAAUGAUGUUAACCGACCCGUCUUGAAACACGG